UUGAACACUUAGGGGAAGGCUAGCCCUACUGGUUAUGGAGAAGCUCUUAUGCGCUUGUUGAUACUACAGAGAAGCCUGUUUUCUCUCAGAGCAGCCUCUAACACUUGCUCCCUAUUUCUCGCCACCUCCUAAAAGGCAGCCGCCAUAAAACUUGUUAAUACAUUAUUCUACAUUUUCUUUUGCCUAACUCAGCCCACCUAUCUCCCAACUGAACACUAAUCCCAAAUAUAUAUUCAAAACAAAAGCAAAAAAUCUUACACAUGAAACUUCCCAUCCUGGGCAGUGACCUCAUACUUGGGUUUCUUUCUCAGUAUGUGAGUUCACCUCAGCUUCUGGUUUGCCAUAUAAUGGCUCAUUGUUCCUCUGUGUGGAUCUUUCAGGUAAACAGGGCUUCUUUAGAAGGAACAGAUAUUCCCUCACAUAAUAAAUAAGAAGGGCCUUUUGCUGGCCUAACAGUCUGCCUUUGAUCCUAAAGCAAAUGGUACUUGGUUAAUUACUGUGUUUGCCUUGCGCUCCUGGCAGAGUCCUGAGGGCUGGGAAGGGUCUCUCCUGUGGAGCUGUUCUUUCCAUUCAUCAGCCGUCGGGGCGGGCAGCGUAUGACCGUCCUUCACUGGGUGACAUCUGGGCUUUAGAGUUUAGAAUCUUACUGGGUUGGAAAGAGUAGCAACUGGGUUGCUAGGGUGUAUGUGAUUGUGUAAUUUGGCAGAGCAAAGGGCACGUGAAUUACCACUUGUAUUUUCAGGCAAACAUUGGGGUGCCCACGUUGCCAACUAGACUGAGGCCUGAGGUGAUGGGUAGAGAUUUCUUAGAGCUGGACAUCGUGACCUUGUACCUCACUGGCCUGGUUGCAGUGGGCUGUGUUACUUCACACCUGAGGAAUUGUCACUCCUAUGAAACACAUACCUUUUUCUGUGUCUGUAGGUAGACGAAGUGCACCACCCUUGAACCUCACUGGCCUCCCUGGCACAGAGAAGCUGAAUGAAAAAGAAAAGGAGCUCUGUCAGAUGGUGAGGUUGGUCCCAGGAGCCUAUUUAGAAUACAAAUCUGCUCUAUUGAACGAAUGUAACAAGCAAGGAGGCUUGAGACUGGCGCAGGCAAGAGCACUCAUCAAGAUAGAUGUGAACAAAACCCGGAAAAUCUAUGAUUUCCUCAUCCGAGAAGGAUACAUCACUAAAGCCUGAGGCUCUGAGGGCUUCGGAUCAGAAAUCACAAAUUUGGAAUGUGGUAGGCCAAAGGACAGCACAGGCAUUCUGGAGAGUUUCAUUGCUGAGCUGAGUUCUCAUUGUAAAAAGAGGGGAAGGACAAAGGGAACCUUACGUUGUAUUAAUACCUACUUUUCUUUUCCACCCUGCUUUAAAACACUCCUGUUGUUGGUGUUGUGCUGCAAAGUUAUGUGCUAGAUAAGCUAUUAUUAAAUGUGAGUGGGCCUCUAUUCCCAACACCUCUUGUAACUAAAACAAGAACCAUAGUACCUCACAUCAGAAUGUCGGUAGAAAUAGAACUGAAGCAGUCUGUAGUCCCGGGAGUCCAGAUCUUUGUACUUGGGAAGUUGGUUUUCUGAUUAUCUGUUUUGCCUUCAAACAUUACAGAAAGAUCUAAAAUAAAGAGAAAGGUUAUAGAGCAUGAGAAAGCUUUCUCUUUCCUUCUGAGGAUUUUUUUAAGCUGAUGACUUACGUUUAUGAGCAAAUGGGAGGAAAAAUCUCCCCGUGAUGGUCUUGUCCCAAACUACAUCUUCCCCUUUUAAUGUCUGGCUUUCUACUUGACUGUCUAAUCUGCAGUAGACUCUUGAGGAGGUGGCACCGGAUAUAAAAUGUCUGUUAUUUUUAGAAUUAAUGGAUUAAAAUGUUUUGCUACCUAA